ACACUCCUGCGGGAGGCAGCAGUGGGGAAUUUUGGACAAUGGGCGAAAGCCUGAUCCAGCAAUGCCGCGUGAGUGAAGAAGGCCUUCGGGUUGUAAAGCUCUUUUGUCAGGGAAGAAACGGUGAGAGCUAAUAUCUUUUGCUAAUGACGGUACCUGAAGAAUAAGCACCGGCUAACUACGUGCCAGCAGCCGCGGUAAUACGUAGGGUGCAAGCGUUAAUCGGAAUUACUGGGCGUAAAGCGUGCGCAGGCGGUUUUGUAAGUCUGAUGUGAAAUCCCCGGGCUCAACCUGGGAAUUGCAUUGGGGACUGCAAGGCUAGAAUCUGGCAGAGGGGGGUAGAAUUCCACGUGUAGCAGUGAAAUGCGUAGAUAUGUGGAGGAACACCGAUGGCGAAGGCAGCCCCCUGGGUCAAGAUUGACGCUCAUGCACGAAAGCGUGGGGAGCAAACAGGAUUAGAUACCCUGGUAGUCCCA
rnacentral:rRNA from 1 species